rnacentral:rRNA from 1 species
GACAGAGGAUGCAAGCGUUAUCCGGAAUGAUUGGGCGUAAAGCGUCUGUAGGUGGCUUUUUAAGUCCGCCGUCAAAUCCCAGGGCUCAACCCUGGACAGGCGGUGGAAACUACCAAGCUGGAGUACGGUAGGGGCAGAGGGAAUUUCCAGUGGAGCGGUGAAAUGCGUAGAGAUUGGAAAGAACACCAAUGGCGAAAGCACUUUACUGGGCUAUUACUGACACUGAGAGACGAAAGCUAGGGGAGCGAAUGGGA